UUACGGCCAUAUAAUACGUCGAAACACCGGUUUCCGUACGACCACCGAAGUUAAGCAACGUCGAGCCUGAUCAGUACCUAGAUGGGUGACGCUUGGGGAUAACUGUUGCUGCAAG